rnacentral:rRNA from 1 species
GACGAACGCUGGCGGCGUGCUUAACACAUGCAAGUCGAACGGAAAGGCCUGCUUUCCCUUGUGGAUUGCGGGUACUCGAGUGGCGAACGGGUGAGUAACACGUGAGUGAUCUGCCCCCAACUUGGGUAUAAGCCUGGGAAACUGGGUCUAAUUCCCGAUAGGACUGCAGGGUGGUGCCUGUGGUGGAAAACGAUUUUCUAGUGGUUGGGGAUGAGCUCGCGGCCUAUCAGCUUGUUGGUGGGGUAAUGGCCUACCAAGGCGGCGACGGGUAGCCGGCCUGAGAGGGUGGACGGGCACAUUGGGACUGAGAUACGGCCCAGACUCCUACGGGAGGCAGCAGUGGGGAAUAUUACACAAUGGGCGGAAGCCUGAUGCAGCGACGCCGCGUGGGGGAUGACGGCCUUCGGGUUGUAAACUCCUUUCGACCGCGAGGAAGCCACCUGGUUGGAAGGGUGGUGACGGUAGUGGUAGAAGAAGCACCGGCUAACUACGUG